CAAAGAAAAAAGGCUAAAACUUCGAAUCUCAUUGAUAUUUUGUAGUGUUUUGGUUUCGUGUUCACUGACAGGUGCAUUAAACUGUUUGAGACAUGGAAUAAGUAUAAAUCUCGCCUUCCUCCCUCUUAUUUCGAAAAGCACCUGUUGCAAACAGCAGAUUUCCUCCUUGACUCAAAGGUUUUGGUGAUUCUGAUCACACUUUUGAUGAGAGCCUGCCUCCCUCCUUAAAUCCUUCCUCCUCUCUCUUUGACACAGCUGUUGCUGGGGAGUGCUUGCAUUUAAUUUGCCACUUAUUUUCCUUUACUCUUAUUUGGGUUUAUGUGUUAUAAAGGGUCUUUGUUUUGUGUCUCUCAGGAAAGAGUAAGAUUGCAGUAGAUGCUGUGAAUUUUGUGAAGCAGCUCUUCAGAUAUGAACAGUGGAGCAUGUUCAACUCGCUCUCUAUGGCACUUACGUCAGCACUAGAUGUGAGUGCAUCUGUGAUAUGGCUUAAAAUGUCAGCCAGACUGCUAUCUAGUUCUUUUUUCUUGUAGUGUUCACAGAACGUGGAAGGCUGCGCAUUUAGGAAGUAUGAGCUUGAACUGAGGACUUUGGAGGCUGUGGAGCAUUUGAUGUCCACGCAAAGAGUUAAAUGAAAGAAUUUUCAUUUCGGUCCAUCCCUACAAACUAUCCGAUUCCUGGUCAGGUCAGAAAGACAUGCAAUCUUUCACCAUAUUAGUGAAACAUAUUUUCAUGCAUGUCACUGAAUAUGUUGUAUUUAUUCUGCUCAGAUGAGAUGAGUUUGAUGGAAUUUAAGAAGUCACAUGCAGUUCAAGCACAGCCUCAGAAACAAAUAGACCUACAGGAGAAGGCCCUGUUGACAUUCAGGAAAAACCAGAUGAGCCGAGAGACCAAGAAAAUACUUGAGGAGGCCGUAACGCUAAUGGAGAAAGCUGAGCUUGAAGAGAGGAGGCUGGUUAGUAGUGCUUAUCCUUCAGAGAACAAUUUAGGAAUGCCAGAGAAGAGACAGCCACCACCAGCCCCAAUACUCCUCACACGCUCCAACCUCCCCAUGACCUUCAAACCUACACCAUACACCCUUGAGGAGAAUGAUGUCACUUCCUGCAACAAAACAGGUCCUUCUAUUUUCUCAUAUCUUAGAUCAGGAAGCCAAUGUUUAAACAAAAAAAAAAAAAAUAGUAAACAAUCAGUACAAAGUAUGUUAUAUGGCCUUUGAUGCGGGGUCAGAUAGAUGUGAGCUUACUGGACAGGAAGACCCUGUUGUACUCUACAUGGUGAUUGAAAACAGCACCCUCCAGCAGGCCUUUAAAGAGGAUAUAUCAAAAAAAAACACAGAAAAAGUCAGACUCAUUGAAUGAGGUGUCGUACACUCAUUCUGUAUGUUUGCAUUAGUGUGUUACUGAUCUAGUGAUGAAGUUCAAGCAGAAGUCUUGUUUUCUGGAGUUUGUUGCGCACUUGCUCCAGAAAGCCCUGCUAGAAGAUGAGAUGGAUCUUGUGUUGCAGUGGGAGCAGAACAUCUUGAACUGGCUUAGCAGGUGUGUUUUUGUGUAGUUCAUGCUUGCAAUGCAUGUGUAGGUGUUUUGAGUUAUAUUUCUUUGCUUUCUGUAAUAUUUCUAGACGUGAUGAGGCUUUGUUCGGACUAAAGAAGAACUCAGGUCUACCAGGGGAGGAGUUUAAAGACUUCACAACCUCUGUAAUUGAGUACAAUACCAAAGUAAGCUUCUGUUUCAUAAAAUGUGUUAACAUUAUACAUUAUACAACCCUCUUUUGUACCUGCAAGUUUCUUGGGCUCUGGGUCAGUGAUCUUAACCUGACCUCCUCCACAGGGAAACAGUAACUGUCUGCUUGCAUAAUUCCUGCAUGUCACCUAUGGACGUCAGUUACAAAAUUUAGAAAUUUUUCCAACUCAGAUGGACGCAAAACUGGAAUAUCCAUUAUAAAGGUUUGCAUUGAACAGGCUGUGAACUCAAAAUUUUAAGCAAAAAUUAAUCAGAAAUAUGUGUAUGUGAUCAUUUCUGUCUACCUUCUCUCCAGAGAUCAUCUCAGUGCAGGACCUUCAUGUAUAAUGACCCAAAUGUAUAAUUUAUUUUUUUAAAAGACCAUAAUUAAGUCUUACGUGUGUGCUUUAUAAUUUACUGCAGAAGUGAAGAGAGCCAUGUGUCUGGUGUGUGUACCGUUGGAUGUAGAGGACACACUGCAGUGUUUAAGAGAGACUGAAGAAAAGACAUCACACACUGCUGACCUUUCAGCACAGCCGAACUCUACUCCUGCUGCUAUUGGCAGACACAAAGCACUGUAAGUCUAACAUACACACCACUAAGUUUGGGGUCAGUACAUUUUUUUUUUUUCUUUAAAUAAUUUAAUUGUUAUAUUUAGCAAGGACAUAUUCAAUUUAUCAAAAGUGACAAUAAAGACAUUUGUAAUUUCUAUUCCUCA
ensembl:lncRNA